rnacentral:rRNA from 1 species
CCUACGGGUGGCAGCAGUGAGGAAUAUUGGUCAAUGGGCGUAAGCCUGAACCAGCCAAGCCGCGUGAGGGAUGAAGGUUCUAUGGAUCGUAAACCUCUUUUAUAAGGGAAUAAAGUGCGGGACGUGUCCCGUUUUGUAUGUACCUUAUGAAUAAGGAUCGGCUAACUCCGUGCCAGCAGCCGCGGUAAUACGGAGGAUCCGGGCGUUAUCCGGAUUUAUUGGGUUUAAAGGGUGCGUAGGCGGCCUUUUAAGUCAGCGGGGAAAGGCUGGGGCUCAACCAUGGAAUUGCCGUUGAAACUGGGAGGCUGGAGUAUGGUUGAGGUAGGCGGAAUGCGUGGUGUAGCGGUGAAAUGCUUAGAUAUCGCGCAGAACCCAGAUUGCGAAGGCAGCCUGCCAAGCCAUGACUGACGCUGAUGCACGAAAGCGUGGGGAUCAAACAGGAUUAGAUACCCGAGUAGUC